UUGACUUAGGAAAAACUAAAACUCCGUGUUAUUCAUAUUGGAAAUCACCAGUCAUGCUCAACAUUGAAGAACAAAUAUAUACACAACAACGAAACCAAACGACAAAAACUAAAUAUCCCAAAAGGGCUAAUAAGUUGCUCUUGGCAAACAAAAUACAAAAGAAACUUAGAUUAUUAUUAUGAUGAUAAAAUUAGUCUAGCUUCCCCAAGUAGCCCAGUUAGCUUCACUUCCGACACGUGGCAUCAUUUGAUUCCUUGACUGAGAAUCAACAUUGAAAUUGGCCCCACACAUAACACCCUCACUGUCAAUCCUAGGCAUUGCUUUCAUCUUCUUGGUUGGAUGUUCAAAGUUCAACAGACCAUGCUCACUAUGAAACAGACACCCUGAAAUUUAUGCAUUAAAUUCUAUUAGUCCGUAGACAAUUUUUCACAUUAUCUAAGUAAUAGUACCAAAUUAAAAAAUGCAACAUGUUAUUAGUAAUUUACAAAAUCAUUUAUGAUCUUUCCAUAGGGUAGUUAAAAAAUCAUGACUUUGCAAACCAAAUUUACAUACCAGUUGGAAAUGGUGCAAAUGAUUUAGCACAGCUAGCUUUUACAAGCUCCAAAUUUUCAGAAAUAACCACAGAACCAUCAGCAGCAAUACCCCAAUAGAGGCCAAUAUGGCCAUCAGAACCCUAAUCAAACACAAACAUAAUUGUCAAUUAAUUAAUCACAAAAGGUGAAUUUUUAUUUAGAGGCUAAUUAAGAAAGUGACUCACAGAUGCAGCAAAAACAGUUCCGUCCUUAUGGUCAUAGAUCACAAAUGCAAAACUGCCUUCAAGUCCUUUGAGGACUUGAUCAGCAGGGUAUGGACCCCUGUCACGAAGUGUCCGAUACGCUUCAAUAAUAAACAUAGCCUCAUUGCCUCCCUUUGAUAGUCCAUACUGCUUGUUCAAUUGACUAAGAUUAUGCAGGUUACCCAUGAAAGCACAGUAUAUGUUGUCCAAACCACUAAACAACCUGUGUGACACAUUUCUUGUAUUAGCAAUAGAACUCAAUAAACUUAUAACAUAAGUUUCAUUUUUCAACUACCUUUUUAUUUACCUAGAUCUAGUUCAGGUCAUUUUUUAGAACACGCUUUUUUAUAAAAUCAAGAAAAUUGAUUGCAGUUAAUUUUUUCUUAAUAAAUGUAAAAUUAGUUAAUUUGUUGAUGAGAUAUCAUGUAGUUUGACCUAAUAUUAUUUGAUAUAUGAUUGCAUAUAAUCUUUUCUCCUACAGUUUGCAGGUCUAAUUUUAGCCAUAAACUUAGAUUCUUUGUGCCUACAAUCAAAUCUGAAACCUAUAGAAGAUAAAAUUAUAUACAGUAUAUCAAAAAAUAUGAAACUAAACUUUAUAAAAAAAAUGAAAUAUUAGUCUAAAUCUAAAUAUUUUAAAUUUAAAGUGAAACUCAUAUCACAAAGGAAAAAAAAAAAAAACUAAAUGGAUUAUCAUUAAUUUAUAAUUAGAAGGUAUUUAUAGCAUACCUUUGAUGAAUGGAGGGUUUGUUUGAAGGGGAAUAGGCUAAUAAAGCAUCAUUUCCAAAAGUCAUGUAGAAUGCAUUAGAGGAAUUACAUGACAUGAAAUCUCUAAGGAUCUCAUGACUUGGUUUAGCCUUAGUGUGUGAAUUAGAAGCUGGACUGUUAAGCUCCUUUGGUGCAUUAACCAACUUUUCCUUAAAAAUUCCCAACAUGUUUUCUUCUAGAUCAAAAACUUUGCUUCAAAUCUUUGUUUAAGUAAUAAUUAUUAGCUGCAAAAAAAAAUGAAAAAUUAGCAAUGAUUAUGUAAAAGAAAAAAAAAACAUAAGCAAAAAAGACACAGAGAGUGAAAAAAAAUGAACAUACCAAGAAUUGGAG
rnacentral:lncRNA from 1 species